ACGGCAGGCCGGUCCGUCGCCCCGAUACGCAAGUGUCGGAGAGGAAAGUCCGGGCAACAGAGAGCACCAUCCUUCCUAACGGGAAGAUAUCCGAAAGGGUAUAGAAGUGUAACAGAAAAGAACAGUCCGCCAUACGGCGAACAAUGGUGAAAAGGUGAGGUAAGAGCUCACCGGUCCCGGUGGUGACACCGGGAGCCGUACACCUGAUGGGUUGAAAGACCAUG
rnacentral:RNase_P_RNA from 1 species